ACGGCUCGGCAUCGAGCAGAGGGAAAAGGAGCAAUCCGCUUUGAGAUGGCCUCGCGUCCGAUUAGCUAGUUGGUGAGGUAAUGGCCCACCAAGGCGACGAUCGGUAGCCGGACUGAGAGGUUGAACGGCCACAUUGGGACUGAGACACGGCCCAGACUCCUACGGGAGGCAGCAGUGGGGAAUAUUGCACAAUGGGGGAAACCCCGAUGCAGCGACGCCGCGUGGAGGAAGAAGGUCUUCGGAUUGUAAACUCCUGUUGUUGAGGAAGAUAAUGACGGUACUCAACAAGGAAGUGACGGCUAACUACGUGCCAGCAGCCGCGGUAAAACGUAGGUCACAAGCGUUGUCCGGAAUUACUGGGUGUAAAGGGAGCGCAGGCGGGAAGACAAGUUGGAAGUGAAAUCCAUGGGCUCAACCCAUGAACUGCUUUCAAAACUGUUUUUCUUGAGUAGUGCAGAGGUAGGCGGAAUUCCCGGUGUAGCGGUGGAAUGCGUAGAUAUCGGGAGGAACACCAGUGGCGAAGGCGGCCUACUGGGCACCAACUGACGCUGAGGCUCGAAAGUGUGGGUAGCAAACAGGAUUAGAUACCCUGGUAGUCCACACUGUAAACGAUGAUUACUAGGUGUUGGAGGAUUGACCCCUUCAGCGCCGCAGUUAACACAAUAAGUAAUCCACCUGGGGAGUACGACCGCAAGGUUGAAACUCAAAGGAAUUGACGGGGGCCCGCACAAGCAGUGGAGUAUGUGGUUUAAUUCGACGCAACGCGAAGAACCUUACCAAGUCUUGACAUCCUGCGACGCACAUAGAAAUAUGUGUUUCCUUCGGGACGCAGAGACAGGUGGUGCAUGGUUGUCGUCAGCUCGUGUCGUGAGAUGUUGGGUUAAGUCCCGCAACGAGCGCAACCCUUAUGGUCAGUUACUACGCAAGAGGACUCUGGCCAGACUGCCGUUGACAAAACGGAGGAAGGUGGGGAUGACGUCAAAUCAUCAUGCCCUUUAUGACUUGGGCUACACACGUACUACAAUGGCGUUAAACAAAGAGAAGCAAGACCGCGAGGUGGAGCAAAACUCAGAAACAACGUCCCAGUUCGGACUGCAGGCUGCAACUCGCCUGCACGAAGUCGGAAUUGCUAGUAAUCGCAGAUCAGCAUGCUGCGGUGAAUACGUUCCCGGGCCUUGUACACACCGCCCGUCACACCAUGAGAGCCGGGGGGACCCGAAGUCGGUAGUCUAACCGCAAGGAGGACGCCGCCGAAGGUAAAACUGGUGAUUGGGGUGAAGUCGAAACAAGGUA
rnacentral:rRNA from 1 species